rnacentral:rRNA from 1 species
GCACUGAGCUAUGCGCGUUAAAUGCACCGGUUCUCGUCAAUCACCGAAGUUAAUCAACGUCGAUCCUAGUGAGUACUUAGAUGGGUGACCGCUUGGGAAACCCAGGUGCUGUAAGCA